GAAGUUUUUUUAAUUUGUGCAGAAACAAUUAUUAAUAUUAAGGACAAGAAGACCCUACGAAUUUAUUAAAUUUUAUUUAAUAUGUAAUUACUAUUAAUAAAAUUUUGACUGGGGCGGUUAAAAAAUAUUUCAAACUUUUUAAAAAUAAAAUGACCCAUUAUUAGUGAUUUUAUGUUAAAUACUCUAGGGAUAACAGCGUUAUAUUUUUUGAUAGAUCAUAUUGACAAAAAAGUUUGCGACCUCGAUGUUGGAU
rnacentral:rRNA from 2 species